rnacentral:rRNA from 1 species
GGGGUAAAAACUCCGGUGGUGUGAGAUGGGCCCGCGUCUGAUUAGGUAGUUGGUGAGGUAACGGCUCACCAAGCCGACGAUCAGUAGCCGACCUGAGAGGGUGACCGGCCACAUUGGGACUGAGACACGGCCCAAACUCCUACGGGAGGCAGCAGUGGGGAAUAUUGCACAAUGGGGGAAACCCUGAUGCAGCGACGCCGCGUGAGCGAUGAAGUAUUUCGGUAUGUAAAGCUCUAUCAGCAGGGAAGAUGAUGACGAUACCUGACUAAGAAGCCCCGGCUAACUAC